ACACACAUGCUUCUUUUUAAAUUAUGUCUGAGUGUUGGAGUGUGCCCCUGGCUGUAAAUUUAAAACAAUUUGAGCAAUUUAAAAUUAUUUAUACUUUUACUUUUGAUACUUAAGUAUAUUUUCACAAUUGCAUUUACUUUUGAUAGUUAAGUAUAUUUAAAAUCAAACACUUUUAGAGGCUUACUUGUAGUAUUUUACAGUAACUUUCACUUUCUUUUGAGUCAUUUUCUAUUUGGGUAUCUUUACUUUUACUCAAGUAUGAAAAUUGGGUACUUUUUCCACUACUGACAGUAUGAAACAUGAGUGACCAAGUGGUCCAGCUCUCCUCAGCCUCCCACCAUGAAGACAUUCUUCAGUCAAUUCACCAGCUGAGACUGCACAGCCACCUGUGUGAUGUCACAGACCAGGUGGCCUUCCAUGGUGGGCUGGAGGAAUUUGAGGCUCACCAGGUGGUACGAGCUGCCUCCAGCGGCUACUUCAAGAACAUCCUACUGGCCCCGGACCCACCUAAGAAACUAUUCCUGGGGAAUGUCUGAAACACUGAUUAUACCUGGUUCUUGGAAUAUAUAUACACUGGCAAACUGGAGGUGGAUGAAAAGUUUGCUGAAGACAAGAUUGGCGUGUGAAGUGGCGACACUGUUUGAGUGUAAAAGCCUUAUGAAAGCCUUUAAAGCCUUAUGGAGGCUUGCAGCUCGGUUCUCGAUGAAGGCAGCUCGAGUCCGCACGGGGAUAAAUCAUCCAUGUCACAAGGCAUGGAGGCUGAUUUGGAUCAUGUAGAGGAGGGGGUGCUGGGGGUCGGAGUAAACAAAAUUCCCAAAAGAGCCUCCACCAAGAGGCCGACCUAUCCAACAAGACCAGAGAGGACGUUGUAAAGGGCAACGGUCCCGGUCACAGCCGAGGAGGAGAGAUCAGAGGUCAAUGAAGAUGCUGAGAUCUCUGGGAGGAGAAGUAACAGGCUGGCAGGCCGCAGAGUCUUCGUUGACAUUCCUAAGAAGAAGUACGUGAGGAAGAUGAAGGACCAGACCAAGACGCAGACGGGAGGAUCUGCCUGACAACACUCAGACCAAGACAGCCGGUCAAGAGGAGAACACUGCGAAUACAUAGGUAGUUGCUAUGGUGACUGCUUUGAGGUGUGUGAAGCAUUUUGAAAAAGUGCUGUAUAAAUCCAAUUGAUUGUGGUGAUUAUUGUUAUUACACAGAAGGGAGGCAGGAGAGGCCCUUCCAGAGCUGCUGCCUGAAAAAGAGGGGGCGGUGCGGGGCUGAGGUCAACAGACGAUCGAUGAUGUGGAAGGAGAUAUACCCGAGGAUUGUCCUGAUGACUCACAUUUCUUCCCCAGGAAGGAAGCAAUGGGACGAGCCACGGUGUGCAGGGGGAGGUGACAUACCGUUAUGACACCUGCCAGCAGACUUUUGCCAACCUUUGAAACCCGAGGAUCCAUCAGAGACACGUCCACAGUGACGAGAGUGUAUCCCUGCGACGUCUGCACCAAGACUUUCAAAUGCAUGAAGGACGUGACGCGCCUCCGACGACAGGUGCAUGAGGGAGGCGGCGUGCGGCACACCGGUCUUGUGUGUAACAGGGCACUGAGCUCUAAGACAGCGUUGAGGUGGAGGGGAGAGUGGAGUUGGAGGUAGGCUCCAGGAGGGGGCCAUGUUGGUACAUGGUGAGCCUUUCACCCUUUCAGCCAACCCUUCCAUCACCCUGGUCAGCCACACCACCCUGGGUGGGUUCACGGUCAUCCAGACAGAGAUGCAGGCAGGGACCCACCUACGCAUUGUCACCACAGACGGGGCCGGUGUCAUCUCUCUGGAUGGAUCCACUGUCUCUGUCCCCUUCUCCGUGUCCUCUAUCCUCUAUAUAUCACUAGCCACUUUAAACAAUGCUACUUAAUGUUUACAUAC